rnacentral:rRNA from 1 species
CAGACCGUGCUCGCGUCAUCCAAUCCUCCGACGAUGGAUUGUUUGUCGUUCGGCCAAUUCCUCGACCACCUCCACUCCUAGGAGCGGGGGCUCGUGGUAAAAGAACCCACGGCGCGAGAGGCGUCAAGGAACACUGUGCCUAACCCGGGGAGAUGGCUAGCUUGCUGGUCGUCACCUGUGUUGCAAAUAUAUUUAAUCCACACGACUCUCGGCAACGGAUAUCUCGGCUCUCGCAUCGAUGAAGAACGUAGCGAAAUGCGAUACCUGGUGUGAAUUGCAGAAUCCCGCGAACCAUCGAGUCUUUGAACGCAAGUUGCGCCCGAGGCCACUCGGCCGAGGGCACGCCUGCCUGGGCGUCACGCCAAAACACGCUCCCAACCACCCUCUUCGGGAAUUGGGAUGCGGCAUAUGGUCCCUCGUCUGCAAGGGGCGGUGGGCCGAAGAUCGGGCUGCCGGCGUACCGCGUCGGACACAGCGCAUGGUGGGCGUCCUUGCUUUAUCAAUGCAGUGCAUCCGACGCGUAGACGGCAUCAUGGCCUCGAAACGACCCAUCGAACGAAGUGCACGUCGCUUCGACCGCGACCCCAGGUCAGGCGGGACUACCCGCUGAG